AGUGAACGCUGGCGGCGUGCUUAACACAUGCAAGUCGAACGAGAACGGAUUAUAGCUUGCUAUAAUUGUCAGCUAAGUGGCGCACGGGUGAGUAAUGUAUAGGUAAUAUGCCUCUUACUAAGGGAUAACAAAUGGAAACGUUUGCUAAUACCUUAUACUCCUUAUUAACAGAAGUUAAUAAGGGAAAGAUUUAUUGGUAAGAGAUUAGCCUGUAUUGUAUCAGUUAGUUGGUGGGGUAAUGGCUUACCAAGACUAUGACACAUAACUGGUUUGAGAGGAUGAUCAGUCACACCGGAACUGAGACACGGUCCAGACUCCUACGGGAGGCAGCAGUGGGGAAGAUUGCACAAUGGACGAAAGUCUGAUGCAGCAACGCCGCGUGGAGGAUGACACAUUUCGGUGCGUAAACUCCUUUUAUAUGAGAAGAUAAUGACGGUAUUAUAUGAAUAAGCACCGGCUAACUCCGUGCCAGCCGCCGCAGAAA
rnacentral:rRNA from 1 species